rnacentral:rRNA from 1 species
CACGGAGUUAGCCGAUCCUUAUUCUUACCGUACAUUCAGCUCGAUACACGUAUCAAGGUUUAUUCCGGUACAAAAGCAGUUUACAACCCGUAGGGCCGUCUUCCUGCACGCGGCAUGGCUGGUUCAGGCUUGCGCCCAUUGACCAAUAUUCCUUACUGCUGCCUCCCGUAGGAGUCUGGUCCGUGUCUCAGUACCAGUGUGGGGGGUCAUCCUCUCAGAUCCCCUAGACAUCGUCGCCUUGGUGGGCCGUUACCCCGCCAACUAGCUAAUGUCCCGCAUGCCCAUCUUUAUCCUAUAAAUAUUUGAUUACAUCUCAAUGCCGAGUCGUAAUGUUAUGCGGUGUUAAUCUCUCUUUCGAGAGGCUAUCCCCCAGACUAAAGGUAGGUUACAUACGUGUUACGCACCGUGCGCCACUCUCAUUGGAGCAAGCUCCCAAAUCCCGUCCGACUUGCAUAUAUUAGGCCUGCCGCUAGCGUUCAUCCUGAGCCAGGAUCAAACUC